GUGGGGAAUCUUGCGCAAUGGGCGAAAGCCUGACGCAGCCAUGCCGCGUGAAUGAUGAAGGUCUUAGGAUUGUAAAAUUCUUUCACCGGGGACGAUAAUGACGGUACCCGGAGAAGAAGCCCCGGCUAACUUCGUGCCAGCAGCCGCGGUAAUACGAAGGGGGCUAGCGUUGCUCGGAAUUACUGGGCGUAAAGGGCGCGUAGGCGGACAGUUUAGUCAGAGGUGAAAGCCCAGGGCUCAACCUUGGAAUUGCCUUUGAUACUGGCUGUCUUGAGUACGGGAGAGGUGAGUGGAACUCCGAGUGUAGAGGUGAAAUUCGUAGAUAUUCGGAAGAACACCAGUGGCGAAGGCGACUCACUGGCCCGUUACUGACGCUGAGGCGCGAAAGCGUGGGGAGCAAACAGGAUUAGAUACCCCAGUAGUCC
rnacentral:rRNA from 1 species